GACGAACGCUGGCGGCGUGCCUAAUACAUGCAAGUAGAACGCUGAAGCGAGGAGCUUGCUCUUCUUGGAUGAGUUGCGCACGGGUGAGUAACGCGUAGGUAACCUGCCUUGUAGCGGGGGAUAACUAUUGGAAACGAUAGCUAAUACCGCAUAACAAUGGAUGACACAUGUCAUUUAUUUGAAAGGGGCAAUUGUUCCACUACAAGAUGGACCUGCGUUGUAUUAGCUAGUAGGUGAGGUAAUGGCUCACCUAGGCGACGAUACAUAGCCGACCUGAGAGGGUGAUCGGCCACACUGGGACUGAGACACGGCCCAGACUCCUACGGGAGGCAGCAGUAGGGAAUCUUCGGCAAUGGGGGCAACCCUGACCGAGCAACGCCGCGUGAGUGAAGAAGGUUUUCGGAUCGUAAAGCUCGGUUGUAAGUCAAGAACGGGUGUGAGAGUGGAAAGUUCACACUGUGACGGUAGCUUACCAGAAAGGGACGGCUAACUACGUG
rnacentral:rRNA from 1 species